rnacentral:rRNA from 1 species
GACAAACGCUGGCGGCGUGCCUAAUACAUGCAAGCCGAACGACGAAAGCCUUCGGGCAGGUAAGAGUGGCGCACGGGCGAGGAACACGUAGAUAAUCUGCCCUUCAGUGGGGAAUAACUCUCCGAAAGGAGUGCUAAUACCGCAUAAGACCACAAGCUCUGCGGAGCAAGGGGUUAAAGGAUUUAUUCGCUGAAGGAUGAGUCCGCGUCCGAUUAGCUAGUUGGUGAGGUAAUGGCUUACCAAGGCAAUGAUCGGUAGAUGGUCUGAGAGGAUGAUCAUCCGCACUGGAACUGAGACACGGUCCAGACUCCUACGGGAGGCAGCAGUAGGGAAUAUUGCACAAUGGGGGAAACCCUGAUGCAGCAACGCCGCGUGAGUGAUGAAGGCUCUAGGGUCGUAAAGCUCUGUCGUAUGGGAAGAAAAAAAUGACGGUACCAUACAAGAAAGGACCGGCCAACUACGUGCCAGCCGCCGCGGUAA